GGGCCCGUAAAGGUUUCGACGGGGAUUCUGAGGCACGAUAAGCGAGUAGUGAGGGCGAAAUCACUUAAAUCGUCGCAACUUAAACUUAAACGCAGAUUACAAUUCUGAGUUAGCAGCUGCCUAAGCGCGCUGCCGUCGCCCCCGACAGUACCGCGGGUCGGGCUGCGGCGUCGAUUAGCGGUGAACGUCACCUGCAAAUAGCCUUAUAGCUUGUGAUGUACCAAAGGCUACCAAACGCAACAGCCUGUUUAUCGGCGGUCGCGCAAGGGAAUUUCAAACGAUAAACUGCACUCGGAGAAAGUUGUGAGGACGGGUUUUCGGACAGGAGUUCAAUUCUCCUCGGGUCCACCA
rnacentral:tmRNA from 1 species